rnacentral:rRNA from 1 species
AUUGAACGCUGGCGGCAUGCCUUACACAUGCAAGUCGAACGGCAGCGGGGGAGAAGCUUGCUUUUCCUGCCGGCGAGUGGCGAACGGGUGAGUAAUACAUCGGAACGUGCCCUGUAGUGGGGGAUAACUAGUCGAAAGAUUAGCUAAUACCGCAUACGACCUGAGGGUGAAAGUGGGGGACCGCAAGGCCGCAUGAUAUAGGAGCGGCCGAUGUCUGAUUAGCUAGUUGGUGGGGUAAAGGCCUACCAAGGCGACGAUCAGUAGCUGGUCUGAGAGGACGAUCAGCCACACUGGGACUGAGACACGGCCCAGACUCCUACGGGAGGCAGCAGUGGGGAAUUUUGGACAAUGGGCGAAAGCCUGAUCCAGCAAUGCCGCGUGUGUGAAGAAGGCCUUCGGGUUGUGAAGCACUUUUGUCCGGAAAGAAAUGGCUCUGGUUAAUACCUGGGGUCGAUGACGGUACCGGAAGAAUAAGGACCGGCUAACUACGUGCCAGCAGCCGCCGUAA